CAAAGAGGUGUCAGGGAAACAAGGCAGCCCCUGCCCCUUCCUCCUGCUGCCACGUGACACUGAGCCGCCCACGCGCCAAGUGGGGCCCUUGUGCUGGUGAAGCAUCAACCCCGAGUCCUCAGUCACCACCGUGGAGUCAGAGAGCGGACCCGGGUCACCCUCCCCCAGCAGGCAGAAGAAAGUGAAUGGAGGCCUGGACGCCAGGGUGGGUCCUGCCCCCGUGUCCAUGGGAACCAGCCUUGACUGAGAAGAGGAAGUGGGGUGAGCAUCCCUGAGAAUUUGGGUCUAAAGACUUUUGUCAGAAGUUCAAGGUCAUCCGGGCCCAGCCUGUGGAUUCUGCCACAGUCCGUCCAUCGUGGCCUCCUGUGAAUGACCCUCAGGUCAUGCCCACCCUCAGAGGACACAGAGAUGUGUCACUGAAAGUCCUUGAGUCAAGAAUUGGAUCACAGGGUUAGGAAGGGUGAGAAGCCCUUAUGCUUUCCCACCUGCAAGUUGGAGAACCAGGAAGGCCAGUGGGUUAAUUCAGUUCAAGUCUUAAGGUUUGAGAGCCAGGGCCAUGCCUUCAGGCAGAAGAUGGAUGUCUCAGCUCCAGCAGGGAGUGAAUUGGCCCCUCUGCCUUUUCAUUCUGUUGUUUUAUCAGAGGCCUCAGUGGAUUGGAUGAGCUCACACUGAGGACACAAGAACCUUCAGUGUCAACGUUCACCAGCACACCACCCCCGGAAAGUCUGGAAUCCUCAGUCAGAAAAGUUCAGUAUCUCGAAGUGGGCCCCCAUCCAGGUGUCUGCCCUGGGGACAGAGGCACCUGUGUUCACUGUCACAGUCAACUUUCUUCUUUCAUGUCAAAAUUGAUUCUGAAAACUCAACAGAGCCCAUCACCUUCACUUUUGUGGGACUAGCAGCACUGGGCCACCUCUCACAGCCUGUCAUACUAUAUUCAGUGUGAGCAAGAGUUUUCUAAAGCUGGGCUCUGGCCAUCUUUGCAUAAUGUAUGAAUUAAAAAUAAUUUUAUUCCCUC
rnacentral:lncRNA from 1 species